AUAAAGGUUAAAUAAAAAAAUAAAACACUCAUCGACUCUGUUAGUUCCACCAUUACCGCUGUCUUGAGAACAACCAGUGUGGUCAAGACCCCCCUCCACAGACAUCUGCUGCAUCUUCAUCUUAAGCGUGUCAGCUCUGCAGCACCAGGGAGCUAAAGUACCAUGUUUGCUGUGGUUAAUUUCCCGAACGAAGAUGCAAAAACCUGGUGCACCAAGGACAAAUGUUAUUGGCCUCCAUACAAGAGCCAAGAGAGGUUAAGGAAGGCAGUGAUGUUGCACAAACGGCCAGACAUUGAUACAUGGGAGGUGUAUUCAAUUCAAUUACUGAAGACAGAAUUCAUAUGAGAAAUCUCAUGGUUAGGGCAAAGGCCUGGAAACAGAGCUGGAGUCUCACCAAAGGAAGAGAAAGUAAGAUUUAGUGUUUGAAAUAAAAGGAAUCUCAACACUACUACUCUGAAAACUUCAUGCUUGCUGUCAUUCCCAGGCGAAAUCCUAAAUGUGAUCGACUCUGAGGAGUCUGACACUGAUCAUAACCAGCACCCACCAGCGUCAAAGACCCCCAAAUUCACCCAAAAAAGGGUUGAUUCCACACACAAAAAAAAGUAUAUGCAAUAUUUAAUUUCUUGGCAAUGAAUUGUUCAUACAAAGUAUAAGUCUAAUUUUCACAACCUACAUUUCAUUUGCACAAUUUGCAACAGUAUCUUCUAUACUAUCUUUGUCACUCUCUGCUGGGGGUAAGUGCCUCUUAUGUACUGAAUGUAAUGAAGUAUAUCACAUAAUAUGCUUAAGAACUAAUAAUGUUAUGUGUUUUUUGAAGGAAUGCUGAAAUAGUUUGGCUGUGAACUCAGAUGUAUAGGACAAAUAACUAUGCWUAACUUUGAUCUGAACAGGUCCCCAGUCCUCUUCGUCACAUGGGUCAGCUGCUCACCAGU